rnacentral:rRNA from 1 species
CUACGGGGCGCAGCAGUGAGGAAUAUUGCACAAUGGGGGGAACCCUGAUGCAGCAACACCGCGUGGAGGAUGACGCAUUUCGGUGUGUAAACUCCUUUUAUAUGUCAAGAAAAUGACGGUAGCAUAUGAAUAAGCACCGGCUAACUCCGUGCCAGCAGCCGCGGUAAUACGGAGGGUGCAAGCGUUACUCGGAAUCACUGGGCGUAAAGGACGCGUAGGCGGGUUGGAAAGUCAGGUGUGAAAUCCUACAGCUUAACUGUAGAACUGCACUUGAAACUUCUAAUCUAGAGUAUGGGAGGGGGAGAUGGAAUUAGUGGUGUAGGGGUAAAAGCCGUAGAUAUCACUAGGAAUACCUAAAGCGAAGGCGAUCUCCUGGAACAUUACUGACGCUAAGGCGUGAAAGCGUGGGGAGCAAACAGGAUUAGAUACCCCCGUAGUC